GCCUUCGUGGUGUAGUGGUCAGCACACUCGGCGCGUAUUCGAGAGGUCCUUGGUUCGAGUCCCGGCGAGGCCA
rnacentral:tRNA from 1 species